GUGGGGAAUUUUGGACAAUGGGGGCAACCCUGAUCCAGCCAUCCCGCGUGUGCGACGAAGGCCUUCGGGUUGUAAAGCACUUUUGGCAGGAAAGAAAUUGCCUGGGUUAAUACCCUGGGUAGAUGACGGUACCUGCAGAAUAAGCACCGGCUAACUACGUGCCAGCAGCCGCGGUAAUACGUAGGGUGCAAGCGUUAAUCGGAAUUACUGGGCGUAAAGCGUGCGCAGGCGGUUCGGAAAGAAAGAUGUGAAAUCCCAGGGCUUAACCUUGGAACUGCAUUUUUAACUACCGGGCUAGAGUGCGUCAGAGGGGGGUGGAAUUCCGCGUGUAGCAGUGAAAUGCGUAGAUAUGCGGAGGAACACCGAUGGCGAAGGCAGCCCCCUGGGAUGAUACUGACGCUCAUGCACGAAAGCGUGGGGAGCAAACAGGAUUAGAAACCCUUGUAGUCC
rnacentral:rRNA from 1 species